AUGCUACGGUGAAUACGUUCCCGGGUCUUGUACACACCGCCCGUCACACCACGAGAGUUUGUAACACCCGAAGCCGGUGGAGUAACCUUUUAGGAGCUAGCCGUCGAAGGUGGGACAAAUGAUUGGGGUGAAGUCGUAACAAGGUAGCCGUAUCGGAAGGUGCGGCUGGAUCACCUCCUUUCUAAGGAGA
rnacentral:rRNA from 1 species